AUUACUAUGGUAUCCAUAUAUGCUAUCCGCACAGAUGUUAUGAGAGAUGCAACCUGGGAGAGUUUGGGAUGAGCAAAAGAAGCCUUCAGUUUGUAUGUUAUUUGGCUGCAGCAAAUAAUAUUUGAACCAGAAAGGUCCAAACGGCUUGCUUGGACUAAAACCAGUGUCUUGAUUGACACCAUUGGGUCCUAUUUCAAAAGCCGGAGUGUGACGAGGUUGGAUAACUCUGGUGAUUCCAGAGCUUCUCUCUGCCGCAAUGGCAACGUUGUCCCUGUCCCUUCGUCAAUCGAUCACAAGAGCUGUUCUCUGCCAGAGCGUUGUAUCUCUAUCAAUAGAUUAAAAGGUGGAGUAGAAUAGGAAACAUGGAUGAGGACAUGGAUUGAAGGAGGUGAUCGAUAAAUACCAGGUUGAAACAGAACUCUUUUAGGAGGUGAUCCCAGGUUGAAGCAGAACUCUUUAGUGUGCUUUAAACUUCUGCACGGGCUGUCCCGCUUGAGAAGAGCUACUGCAUCCUCCUCAUUACAAAUGCGUCUAAAGACUGUUGAAAAUAAACUUGAUUUUAGUAUUUAGUAUUUCAAGUAUUUUUGUAUCCAUGAUGCAUAUGUUAAUUUAGCAUGUUAGUGGGUAGUAAAUUGUCUUAGUGGGAAUUAAGGUUAUGUAAAAUAAAGAGUCAUGAGAGUUAAGCCUAACAAAUACUAUGUUAGUGGGAGUUAUGCAUAUUGAAGAUUAUGUUAGUGGGAGUUAUGCAUAUUGAAGAUUAUGUUAGUGGGAGAUAGGAGAGUUAUGGAUAUUUAAAUGUAAUGGUUACACAUACAUAUGUGAGGCCUAUAUAUUCAUGUACUCUAGUCAAAUGAAUCAUCAAGUGAAAUAAAAAAUA